GCCGGGGUGGCGGAACCUGGUAACGCGCACGCCUGGAGAGCGUGUUCCCGCAAGGGAUCAUGGGUUCAAAUCCCAUCCCCGGC
rnacentral:tRNA from 1 species